rnacentral:rRNA from 1 species
CAGUAGCCGCGGGAAUACGUAGGGUGCGAGCGUUAAUCGGAAUUACUGGGCGUAAAGCGUGCGCAGGCGGUUGUGUAAGACUGGUGUGAAAUCCCCGGGCUUAACCUGUGAACUGCGCUUGUGACUGCACAGCUAGAGUAUGGCAGAGGGGGGUGGAAUUCCACGUGUAGCAGUGAAAUGCGUAGAGAUGUGGAGGAACACCGAUGGCGAAGGCAGCCCCCUGGGCCAAUACUGACGCUCAUGCACGAAAGCGUGGGGAGCAAACAGGAUUAGAUACCCGUGUAGUCCCUGUCUCUUAUAC